GAAGGACGUUACUAACGACGAUAUGCUUUGGGGAGCUGUAAGUAAGCUUUGAUCCAGAGAUUUCCGAAUGGGGAAACCCAGCACGAGUUAUGUCGUGUUAUCUGCAUGUGAAUACAUAGCAUGCAAGAAGGCAGACCCGGAGAACUGAAACAUCUUAGUACCCGGAGGAAGAGAAAGAAAAAUCGAUUCCCUGAGUAGCGGCGAGCGAAACGGGAAGAGCCCAAACCAAUAAGCUUGCUUAUUGGGGUUGUAGGACACUCUGUACGGAGUUACAAAAGAAUUUGUUAGACGAAUAACCUGGAAAGGUUAAUCA
rnacentral:rRNA from 1 species